ACAUAUUUGUCUUUCUCUCUCCUCUCCUCAUUCAACCUCAUUCCUCAUAUUUAAUGUUGACCAUAAAUGACUUAAUUACAAUAAACAAUUUUCAAAACCGCUAAACAUACGACCUUAUCACACAAAUCAAAAUCAUUAAAUGAAAUUUACUCAGAUUUAUUUCAGAUUUAAGUGUGAUUUUUAAAACCCACACCACAACGCCUGACUCCUUGCACUGUCACGGCGACGUCGUCGUUCUCAUGCCGCUACACCUUCUCCUCACAUUGCAGGUUGCUCAUCACUGUGUGAUUUAGGGACGGGUCAAUUUACCUUCAUGAUGCAGCAUCGUCCUCACGUGCUUGGCCCUCCUCUGUCUACCGCCGUACGCUUCAACCUCUGUCAGCAACAAAUGAAGGAACUAGACAACACGUAGUGGUCUUAAAAUAUUGGUUGGCCAACACUGAUGUAUGGAAGAGCUACAGAAGAAGGGGAAUGCAAAGAUAGUAAGGAGUCUCCAGAAACUCAAAUGAAUUUAUCCAGAAACACCAUAUUUGUCCUCAAAUCGUCGUAGUCUUCAAAUUGCAACGCUGUACUCCUCUUCACGCAUCACAGAAUCGUCGUUCAAUCUCACAUCGUCCCCUUCUCUCAUGGUUGAUCGCCUUGCUCUGUCUUCAAUCUCAGAUUGUUGCAAUCUCAAAGUGUCUUUGCCCUCACUCUGCCAGACGAUACGAACAAAAUAGUUGGCAGAGAACAACAAUUUGACGGUCAUCGCUUUUGCAAACCAAUGUCUGAGGAUAAACAUGGCAGUCAUUGCUUUUGCAGCUUCACAAAUUCACGAUUCAGAAUACCGGUAGUCAUUCAAUCAAUAUGGGAAGCUCAGAUUUAAUAUUGUACGUAGUAAAGAAUGGGCUGCCUGCUGCUUUAAAAUCCUCUUCUGAAACAUAGAUUAUAUCGCAUGCUGCAUGCAGUGAACAUUACACCCUUACAGUGUAAUUAAGGGUACAAAGAAGGAAGAAACUAGAUGUGCACAAAUGAAAAUCUUUUAUGAUGGAGAAGUGAUUGUGCUUGAUGAUAUUUCAGAUGAAAAAGCCAAGGACAUCAUGGUUUUUUCUACCAACAACUAUGCUGCUUUUAUUUGGAUGUAUGAUAUUUUAGAGGAUAUGCUUGAUUUGAAUCACAUGUCUUUAUGGUUUUAUUUUGUGUGUUUUGCAUUCAUGACUUUUGUUUUCAUAUAUUCAAAUUUACCAAUGACUAGGAAAGCUUCACUUCAUCGGUUCUUGGAGAAAAAGGAAGAAUAGGGCACCAUAUCAAACAACUUAUCCAGCAACAACCAUUAAUAAGACAAUUGAUAAAUCCAUGGCAUGGCUCUCCCUUACACCAUAAUCACAACAACACAAAUCUGACGUUAACUCCACCUCGGUGAUAUUUUAACUGAUUUUGUUUUGUUGGACAGACUCUAACAUUUUACAGGCUUCUCUGCUACCCUUUUGUUGUUUCUCUAUGACUGGAUCAAUUAGAUCAUGUGUAUUUAUUUAUUUUUGUAAGAAUGAGUCCUAUGCUAAAAAAUAUCUAUACAUAUUUGUGAAUGUUGUGGCGCGUCCUUAUUAGUAUCAUAUUUAAGAGUGUAUUUCUGAUUAACCCCAAAAACAAUGUAUUUAUAGUUAUUUACAUUCAUUAUAUGUGAGUGUGUCUCUA